rnacentral:rRNA from 1 species
CCUACGGGUGGCAGCAGUGGGGGAUAUUGCACAAUGGGGGAAACCCUGAUGCAGCGACGCCGCGUGUGGGAAGACGGUCCUCCGGAUUGUAAACCACUGUCCACAGGGACGAAGAUGACGGUACCUGGGGAGGAAGCUCCGGCUAACCACGUGCCAGCAGCCGCGGCAAUACGUAGGGAGCGAGCGUUGUCCGGAAGUACUGGGUGAAAAGGGAGCGUAGUCGUGACUGCAAGUUGGGUGUAAAAUCUACCGGCUCAACCGGUAGCCGCACUCAAAACUGCAGUUCUUGAGUGAAGUAGAGGCAGGCGGAAUUCCUGGUGUAGCGGUGAAAUGCGUAGAGAUUAGGAGGAACACUAGUGGCGAAGGCGGCCUGCUGGGCUUUUACUGACGCUGAGGUUCGAAAGUGUGGGGAGCAAACAGGAUUAGAUACCCCAGUAGUC